rnacentral:misc_RNA from 1 species
UGUAAUUGCAGUGCUGUUGGAAUUGACCUUUGUGUAUUUGAUUGCAUUUUAGGGAGAGAAAAAGAGGUAAAGAGGAUUUCUUUUACAGAGAAAGAAGAGAAGGAAGGGGAUGAGACAGACUUAUGCGGUUCCACCGCCUCCAUCCCGGACUCCGGAUCCGGCUGCAGGAGAUUCCGCCAUCGACGAUGGGACGGAUCAGCUCAGGACUUACCAAGUCUGGAAGGGCAGCAAUAUAUUCUUCCUUAAAGGGAGGCUUAUAUUUGGACCUGAUGCGAGAUCCCUUCUGCUAACCAUAUUUCUUAU